AUUGAACGCUGGCGGCAGGCCUAACACAUGCAAGUCGAGCGAGAGGCGGACGGGCGAGUAAUGUAUGAGCACCUGCCUGAUCGACGCGGCAGACGACUGGAAACGUUGGCUAAUACCGCAUACUAUCGGAUGGACUCAUAUGGGAUUAGCUAGUAGGUGGGGUAAAGGCUCACGUAGGCGACGCUCGCUAGCUGGUCUGAGAGGAUGAUCAGCCACACUGGGACUGAGACACGGCCCAGACUCCUACGGGAGGCAGCAGUGGGGAAUAUUGCGCAAUGGGCGCAAGCCUGAUGCAGCCAUGCCGCGUGAAUGAAGAAGGCCUUAGGGUUGUAAAGUACUUUCAGCGGGGAGGCGUUACCCGCAGAAGAAGCACCGGCUAACUCCGUGCCAGCAGCCGCGGUAAUUC
rnacentral:rRNA from 1 species